UGCUCCCAAACGGCACAAGAAGAAAUUUUUUAAGAAACCUACAUUCUGGAUAGCCAUCAUAUUUGUACUGUUUGUACUUGUAACAAUUAUCAGUCUUGUGCUUUAUUCAUAUGUUUAUGAGGACGAAGAUGAAAAGCAUAUCUUAAGUUCACCAACAAACAAAACCUGUACAUUCACAGGAUUCCUGAAUCUAACAGACCCAUGUCUAUGGGAUUUAUGGAUCAAAAAUGAAAGAACAUUUCAAGACAGGAUCACCAAUGUGUAUGAAAAAUCUCCUUCACUUCAAUACUAUUUCACUGGUGCCAACAUAGAAUAUAAUUCAACCAAUGAGAACAAAUCUGCAAUUAUUAAACUGGAAUUUGCAAGUCCCUCAAAAACUUCCAAAUACUUGAUCAGUACAGAAUUGGUGGAGGGUAUACUGAGACAAGAUAUCUAUGAUUUAGACCAUUCUGCAUGUCAGCUUUCAAACACAUUGUUGAAUGCAUUUCAAGUCACUUCGCUGAGUCUGUAAGCAGCACUGACUGUCU